GCUCGCAAGAGAGCCGUAACACAGGUGCUGCAUGGCUGUCGUCAGCUCGUGUCGUGAGAUGUUGGGUUAAGUCCCGCAACGAGCGCAACCCUUGUCGUUAGUUGCCAGCAUUCAGUUGGGAACUCUAACGAGACUGCCGUGGUUAACACGGAGGAAGGUGGGGAUGACGUCAAGUCCUCAUGGCCUUUAUGCUUAGGGCUACACGCGUGCUACAAUGCAUUCUACAGAGGGCUGCUAAACCGCAAGGUCACGCCAAUCCCACAAAAGAAUGCUAAGUUCAGAUUGGAGUCUGCAACUCGAC
rnacentral:rRNA from 1 species